rnacentral:rRNA from 1 species
AACGAACGCUGGCGGCAUGCCUAACACAUGCAAGUCGAACGAGGCCUUCGGGUCUAGUGGCGCACGGGUGCGUAACGCGUGGGAACCUGCCCUUAGGUUCGGAAUAACUCCCCGAAAGGGGUGCUAAUACCGGAUAAUGUCUUCGGACCAAAGAUUUAUCGCCUUUGGAUGGGCCCGCGUUGGAUUAGCUAGUUGGUAGGGUAAAAGCCUACCAAGGCGACGAUCCAUAGCUGGUCUGAGAGGAUGAUCAGCCACACUGGGACUGAGACACGGCCCAGACUCCUACGGGAGGAAGCAGUGGGGAAUAUUGGACAAUGGGCGAAAGCCUGAUCCAGCAAUGCCGCGUGAGUGAUGAAGGCCUUAGGGUUGUAAAGCUCUUUUACCCGGGAUGAUAAUGACAGUACCGGGAGAAUAAGCUCCGGCUAACUCCGUG